AAGUCGUAACAAGGUUUCCGUAGGUGAACCUGCGGAAGGAUCAUUGCCACACACGAUCCAAGAUCGACACUUUUUGUGAACUGUAAACUUUUUAUUGAUAUUUGGAGAAGUGCAACCUCACGGUAGCAUGUAUCCGGUAUCGAUGAAACUUUUAAACACCAAAAAACUAAACAAAAAUGAUUUAUACAUUGGAACUUAAAUGUUAUAGCAAGUUCGUCUUGAUAUAACGCUAGAUUAUAAUUGUAAAACAACUUUUAACAAUGGAUAUCUAGGUUCUU
rnacentral:misc_RNA from 1 species